CAAGUCGUAACAAGGUUUCCGUAGGUGAACCUGCGGAAGGAUCAUUAUCGUACAACAGAGGCGUUCGUGGCUGUCGCUGACCUAUUGGGUCGUGCACGCCCUCGAGCGUUCUCGUUUACACAUCUACCUCACCCUUUGUGCAUCGCCGCGUGGGCCCCCCUUUGAUUCAAAGGAGGUCUGCGCUUUUACACAAACUUUGUAACUGUGAAUGUCUUAUUUGCGGUCACACGCAAUCAAUACGACUUUCAACAACGGAUCUCUUGGCUCUCGCAUCGAUGAAGAACGCAGCGAAAUGCGAUACGUAAUGUGAAUUGCAGGAUUCAGUGAAUCAUCGAAUCUUUGAACGCACCUUGCACCCCUUGGCAUUCCGAGGGGUACACCCGUUUGAGUGUUGUGAAAUUCUCAACCUUCUCAGUUUUGGGAGGGCUUGGACUUUGGAGGUUUUUGCUGGCAUCUCUCUCGGGAGCCGGCUCCUCUCAAAUGAAUUAGCAGGGUUCUUCAACCGACCCCUCGACGUGAUAAGAUUUUCUACGUCCGAGGUUUGGAACUGAGACCCGCUUCUAAUUGUCUCUCUACGAGAUGUUAUUUGAACCCUUUGACCUCAAAUCGGGUGAGACUACCCGCUGAACUUAA
rnacentral:sRNA from 1 species